UGAGCACCUUGCAACCCCCACUUCUGCCUGCCAGAGAACAACCCCCCUUGCCUGUAAUUUUCCUUUAUCUACCCAAAUCUUAUAAAAUGGCCCCACCCCUAUCUCCCUUCGCUGACUCUCUUUUUGGACUCAGCCCGCCUGCACCCAGGUGAAAUAAACAGCCUUGUUGCUCACACAAAGCCUGUUUGGUGGUCUCUUCACACAGACGUGCAUG
rnacentral:lncRNA from 1 species